ACCAAUAUGUGUGCCUGUUAUACAAGUGUAAAACCAUUGACCAUAUUACAUGUAAGAAAAUCACACCUAAGGAGAUUUCUGUAUUUGAUAUUAUGUAGGAUAUGUAGAAGGAACAGGGACAGAGAAAGACCCAAGAGAAAGUCAGUGAGGUCUGGAUCAUUGUUCGAGAAGUCAAAAUUCCAGCCUGUUCUUUUGGAUGACAUUCAUCUACAGGUUCACACAGGGGCUCCAAUUACGCCAAAUUGAUAUGAUAGAGGAUGGGGUUGCUGGAAGCUCUCGAACUCUCUCGAAGAUGGCCCAGAAAAUAAGAAGCUUAUGCAUAAGCUCAAUGGCAUCAUAUGCUAGAAGGAAGGGCCAGGUUGUUGGAAGUCGCAGGGAGUUUGUGAUGCUGGAUGAGAGCAACUUUUGUCAUAAGCGAAAGUAUGGACGAGGACGGUUCGCCAGCACCUGGCAAAGAAGAAAGUGGGUCUUUGGGAUUUGGGUGUUGGCCAAAGCUACAACAGACCCAUUUUAAAACUGGUUGAUCACAGGUCCAGACAUCAUCUUCUCCCGCUAAUUGUGCAACAUGUGCGUCCUGGAAGCACCAUCCUCAGUGAUGAAUGG